rfam:Gossypium hirsutum cultivar TM-1 chromosome 23, whole genome shotgun sequence
UGUUAAAAUUUUUAUUCAUUUUUACUGUUAAAAAUUGACGUGGUUGACGAAAUAACCAGAUAGUUACAUGUGAAAUGCCUUAUGUACCUCAUUUUGAUGUACAGUGACCAAUUUUUUUGAGUAGAAAUGGAUGAAAUUCUUAAUA